UACGGAGGGAGCUAGCGUUGUUCGGAAUUACUGGGCGUAAAGCGCGCGUAGGCGGAUCGCUAAGUCAGGGGUGAAAUCCCAGGGCUCAACCCUGGAACUGCCUUUGAUACUGACGAUCUGGAGAUCGGGAGAGGUGAGUGGAAUUCCGAGUGUAGAGGUGAAAUUCGUAGAUAUUCGGAGGAACACCAGAAGCGAAGGCGGCUCACUGGCCCGAUACUGACGCUGAGGCGCGAAAGCGUGGGGAGCAAACAGG
rnacentral:rRNA from 1 species